rnacentral:rRNA from 1 species
GGGUCAUUGGAAACUGGGGAACUUGAGUGCAGAAGAGGAGAGUGGAAUUCCACGUGUAGCGGUGAAAUGCGUAGAGAUGUGGAGGAACACCAGUGGCGAAGGCGACUCUCUGGUCUGUAACUGACGCUGAGGAGCGAAAGCGUGGGGAGCGAACAGGAUUAGAUACCCUGGUAGUCCACGCCGUAAACGAUGAGUGCUAAGUGUUAGGGGGUUUCCGCCCCUUAGUGCUGCAGCUAACGCAUUAAGCACUCCGCCUGGGGAGUACGGUCGCAAGACUGAAACUCAAAGGAAUUGACGGGGGCCCGCACAAGCGGUGGA